CAGUAGCCGCGGUAAUACAGAGGGUGCGAGCGGUAAUCGGAUUUACUGGGCGUAAAGCGUGCGUAGGCGGCUUCUUAAGUCGGAUGUGAAAUCCCUGAGCUUAACUUAGGAAUUGCAUUCGAUACUGGGAAGCUAGAGUAUGGGAGAGGAUGGUAGAAUUCCAGGUGUAGCGGUGAAAUGCGUAGAGAUCUGGAGGAAUACCGAUGGCGAAGGCAGCCAUCUGGCCUAAUACUGACGCUGAGGUACGAAAGCAUGGGGAGCAAACAGGAUUAGAUACCCCGGUAGUCCCUGUCUCUUAUAC
rnacentral:rRNA from 1 species